rnacentral:misc_RNA from 1 species
AAAAGAAAUAAAAAAAAACUUAAUUAAAAUUAUGACAUAAGCAUGACCAAAUAAAAAAAUAAAAUUUAAAAAGUGGAUAAGUAUAUAAGUAAGAGACAAAACCCUAAAAUAAAAAGCUCUCUUCUUCUCUUCCUUCCUCACAUGUGUCACCCCACUCUUCCCUUUGCCUUCCUCCAUUGUUGCUUUCCAAAGCUCUAAUUUUUCUUGAAUUCCUUCCAUAUUUUCCAUAUCCACCAACAUAAAACCUUGCUAAUUGAUCUUGGAGAAGUG